UUUGAUUCUUAUCUUUUUCAUUUUUAUUAUAAAUCAUAUGUAAUUUAUUUUUUGUAUUUAUUUGAAGAUGAUUCAAAAUGCCUCAACUGUGAGAUUUGUGAAAAAUUAAUAUUAGAAUCUUUUUUUUUGAAUUAAUUUAAUUUUUUAUUUUGUUUGAUUCUUAUCUUUUUCAUUUUUAUUAUAAAUCAUAUGCAAUUUAUUUUUUGUAUUUAUUUGAAGAUGAUUUGAAAUGCCUCAAGUGUAAGAGCUUUGUUUGUCUUUAGUAAAAAUUUAACUAGUAGUGGUUAUUUACAUGGGUGGUUUGAGUAAGGUGAAUAUACAGUUAUAUUUAGUCAUAUACAGUCAUAUAUAGUCAGUCAUAUGUAGUCAUGUAUAGUCAUGACUACAUAUAACUAUACAUGACUAUAAUACUUGUAGUACACCAUAGUCAUUUGUAUCGAUUUUAGUACAAUAAAUUUAUCACAAAAAAAAAAAAUCAUGGUUUUUUGUAUUUUUCAUGUAAUGUAAUUUGAAUUUUGCAGGUAUUUUUUGAGUUCACCAAAGUAUCUUUUGUACAACCAUCAUCGAAUUUUGCAGUUAUUUUUUGAGUUUUGGUUUUAAUAUUUUUUCUUUUUUUUUUUUCGUGUGAAGCCGUGAGUUUAAUUUUAGGAGUCGACUUGUACAUAAAACGCGAUUGUUGUGGCAAGAAAUAUAAAAAAAAAACAACUUGAAACUUGUUCCUGGUGGUGGUGCGACAAAACUGACUGUUCAUCCAUUGAAGGCAUAGAAAAGGUCUUGGUGUUUGAACUACUAUGUAGUAAGUUUUUGCAGAGUGGAUUGUGUUCGUUGUUCAAAACAAGCGGUUAUCGUGUUGACAAGUGCGAUUUGAGUCAAAUUUAGUCGUAUAGAUAACUGUAGUCAUGUAUAGUUCCAUGUAGUUAUAUAUAUUUAUAUACAAGCUAUGUGGUUUUUCUGAUGUAUAGUGAUCUUGAUGAU